AACGAACGCUGGCGGCAUGCCUAACACAUGCAAGUCGAACGAGACCUUCGGGUCUAGUGGCGCACGGGUGCGUAACGCGUGGGAACCUGCCCUUAGGUUCGGAAUAACUCCCCGAAAGGGGUGCUAAUACCGGAUAAUGUCUUCGGACCAAAGAUUUAUCGCCUUUGGAUGGGCCCGCGUUGGAUUAGCUAGUUGGUAGGGUAAAAGCCUACCAAGGCGACGAUCCAUAGCUGGUCUGAGAGGAUGAUCAGCCACACUGGGACUGAGACACGGCCCAGACUCCUGGGGGGGGAGGGGGGGGGGAUUAUGGAAAAGGGGGGAAAGCCUGGACCCACCAGUGCCGGGGGGGGAGGAAGGCCUUGGGGUUUUAAAGCUUUUUUACCCGGGAGUAAAAAGGACGGUCCGGGGAAAAAAGCCCCGGGCAACCCCGGGG
rnacentral:rRNA from 1 species